rnacentral:rRNA from 1 species
GACGAACGCUGGCGGCGUGCUUAACACAUGCAAGUCGAACGGAAAGGCCCUGCUUUUGUGGGUUGCUCGAGUGGCGAACGGGUGAGUAACACGUGAGUAACCUGCCCUUGACUUUGGGAUAACUUCUGGAAACUGGGGCUAUUACCGGAUAGGAGCUCUUGCUGCAGGGUGGGGGUUGGAAAGUUUCGGCGGUUGGGGAUGGACUCGCGGCUUAUCAGCUGGUUGGUGGGGUAGUGGCUUACCAAGCUUUUGACGGGUAGCCGGCCUGAGAGGGUGACCGGCCACAUUGGGACUGAGAUACGGCCCAGACUCCUACGGGAGGCAGCAGUGGGGAAUAUUGCACAAUGGGCGGAAGCCUGAUGCAGCAACGCCGCGUGCGGGAUGACGGCCUUCGGGUUGUAAACCGCUUUCGCCUGUGACGAAGCGUGAGUGACGGUAAUGGGUAAAGAAGCACCGGCUAACUACGUG